GAUGAACGCUGGCGGUAUGCUUAACACAUGCAAGUCGAACGGACUCUUCGGAGUUAGUGGCGGACGGGUGAGUGACGCGUGAGAAUCUGGCUUUGGGUUCGGGACAACCACUGGAAACGGUGGCUAAUACCGGAUGUGCCGAGAGGUAAAAGAGAAAUUGCCUGAAGAUGAGCUCGCGUCUGAUUAGCUAGUUGGUGAGGUAAAGGCUCACCAAGGCAGCGAUCAGUAGCUGGUCUGAGAGGAUGACCAGCCACACUGGGACUGAGACACGGCCCAGACUCCUACGGGAGGCAGCAGUGGGGAAUUUUCCGCAAUGGGCGAAAGCCUGACGGAGCAAUACCGCGUGAGGGAAGAAGGCUCUUGGGUUGUAAACCUCUUUUCUUAGGGAAGAACAAAAUGACGGUACCUAAGGAAUCAGCAUCGGCUAACUCCGUG
rnacentral:rRNA from 1 species